UAAGGUGAUGAAAAUUAUUCAAUGUGUAUAUAUGUAUAUGUGGUGUAAAUGAAAAUAAAAGAAAAAGAAAAAAUAAAAUAAAAAGAAGUAGGACCCACCAUUAAUGGAAUUAAGGCCAAAGAGACCAUGUUUGGUCUCAUAAUUCUCUCUUCUCCCGCUGGUAUAUCUCUCUUCCUCUCAAGCUUUCUUUUUCUUUUUCUUUUUUUUUUUUUUCCACCAAAACUUUGAAUCUGGAUUUCUCCUUUAAUUCUUGAUAUUUUUGAGUGCCGUUUACGGCAAAUUGAAGCUCACGGCGAGAUUUACAAGUUGAUCGGAGUAAUUUCUUGUUUGGUGCCCUCUAGGGAAUUCGGAAUCUAGGUCAUUAAUUUGGAAAUUUUGGGACUUUGCUUCAAUUAAGUGGACAGGGGAAAGAAGUGGCGGAUGGCGUUCCACUACAUACCUAAUUUGGAUUAGAAGAUCAUUUUGCUAUUUUUGUAUCCAAGUCUCACUAUUUUUGUAAAACUUAGUAUAUUGUAUUCUGUAUGGAGACUUAUGGACUCUUGUUAUUGUAAUUAUAUUCAUGAACUGUAAGUAGAUGUAAUUGGAGUAAAAUUCUAGUAUGUGAGUAUGGAACUAUGUAUAAGACAAGUACUCCUUUAUUCUGGAUGAAUGGGUUGAUGGUAAUGGACUAUUUUGAGGAGGUUGUAGAUGUUGUUUUGGGAA